UUAAUUGGUUGCAUCUGGUGCGUUUCACUUAAGAGGGAACCGGACAGUACGUUGACGUCCUCCACUGUUUGACGUCCUCCACUGUUUGGCAGUGUAGCCUCUCCCAAACGUGGUUAAAGACUUUUUGAAGUAAAGAAGAGCAUCUCAUCUGAACCUGAUGUCUAUCAUGGAUAUUUAACUGCAGUUCUGUGAGUAUCCCAACUUAACCAUCAAGAUGAACUGCAAACUGUAAGUCAUUAGUUUCUUAUUACUCUUGGGCACAUUGAUGUAUUUUGCUUUCCUGGUGAGUUAACCCGUUGCCUGAAGGUUGAUCUGAGUAGUAAGGAUGUUUUAUUGGUUCAUGGGUUACUUAGGUGUUUGGUUUAUGUUGGUUUUAAUGAUAUGUUGAAAUGGUUACAGGCUCCAAAUUAUUGUUGUAAGCUGGAGUAAUGGGUUGGGUUCUGAUAUCUUCAGUCUUCUUUCAUGCUACUCUCCUGAGCUCUGCAUCUUCAUCACAUGAAUGUUGCUCUACUGUGAGGGUGUGGUCUGAGUGAGCAGAGGUGCAUACUGGGAUACAGAGCUGUCUGAAGUCUACAGGUCUGUAGACACGCCCCCUCAGGGGAAACCGAGCGUUUGAGAAACCGUCGUGACGUCGGUUACAUGGACUAGAAUGUACUUAAAGAUGGACUCACGGAUUCAGAAGGAGAAACACCAGGGGGAGUUGAGGGGGCUCCUCAUCUGAACGACUAAAACACAACUUCAGUCUGACACAGAGAACCAUGGAACACGUUCAACAGCCCCCUCCAGGCAUCGUGACUCCUCAGGAACAGUUUCAUUUCCAAGAAGGUCUUAAUUGGGGCCAUUCCAAGAUGGAUCCUGCUCCUCAAGAGCCACCCCCCUCCACUGGGUGGUCUUCUAAAGAGAUGACCUCCUUCCUAUCCUCAGGCUGACUAAAGCUGCACCGUUUGCAUCUGUGAAGGCCCCUCAUUCAGGAAACCACUGGACAACAAAGACAUGACUUCAGAGACGUUGAAUCAACCUGGGACACAUCUUGGAGACGCCAAGCAUAAUCCAUCACCAAUGUGGGACGCCACUGAAGAAUGUUGUUCAUAAUUUACGUCUCUGGAGACAUUGGUUGUUCUGUUAUGGGUGCCCUGGCAGGAGAGCUGGGGGUGGAUGAUGGAAUGGUGUGUGUGUGUGUGUGUGUGUGUGUGUGUGUGUGUGUGUGUGUGUGUGUGUGUGUGUGUGUGUGUGUGUGUGUGUGUGUGUGUGUGUGUGUGUGUGUGUGUGUGUGUGUGUGUGUGUGUGUGUGUGUGUGUGUGUGUGUUGGAUGAUUUUUGAGCAUCACUAGGGUUCUACUGCGUGUGUGUGUCCCACUCACACCUGGCAUGUGGUCCUACGUGCCUGUCCUGGGUUCUAUGUGUGUGUGUGUCCAGCUUGCUUUGACAGUGAUAAUGUUCAUACGGGGGUCUGUGUGAUUGGCUUGGGAUAUUGGAAUGGUCAACUAAAUCAUACCUGAUGGACGGCCACACGUUUACUUAAGGGCCUCCAGUAGACAUGAAGAGCCCUGAGCGACGCUCCGGAGCGAUAUCAACACACUGGGCAGGAAGGAGAGUAUCCACAUCAAAUGUAAAAGGAUGCACGCAGCGUGUUCAGAUCAGUGACUUCAAACUAGGACUACACCAAUCAGGAUCAAUGGAGGAUGGACACCUAAAGGAAUUCCACAAGGAGAGUCUGACAUUGGAAAGGGACCUAAAUGGAUAUUCAAGAUGACCUUCAGACCUGUAAUGAGACGGCUCUUCCUACCUGGCUGGAUUGAUGGAGAGCCCUGUGGAUCUUGUCUUGCUCUCAGUUGCAUGUCUGCUCAGGCUGAACUGUAUUUUUUUCGGACAGGACUAGCUGAACGAUUGGUUUCCUUAAAUCAGAACCAAUCCGGGAACUCCAACUAGUGCGCUCUUCGAGCUGAAGUUGUGCUCUUCAGCUGAGGAGGUAAGGAAACCUUCACUGGGGCUUCAAGGUGUAAAGAGGAGAAUGUUUCAAAGUGUUCCAUGGUGCUCUGAUGAAGACCGUUGUUGUGUUCCACUGGCUGAGAGGAAGGACCCUCACAUCAUCCUCUUGGCCUUUCUCCUCUUUGAAUCGUGGCUCCAUCUUGAAGGAUAUUCCAGCGCAUGUAACUGAUGUCGUGACAGAUUCUCAAACACUUGGUUUCUCCUGAGGGGCGUGUCUAUAGAACUGAAGACUUCAGACAGCACUGUAUCCCAGCAUGCAUCUCUGCUUACUCAGACCACACCCCCAUGAGUAGGAUGCAACACUCUAGCGAUGGAGAUGUAGAGUUUUAUAAGUAACGCGGGAGCAGACAGGUGACUAGAACACAAUGGCAUGUCAAGUCUGUAAAUCUUUAAACCAUGAAGAUGGUUGGAUAGUUCAGGAAUUGGGCUUCUUUUUAUUAUGGGCAGUCCUUUCACUGAGAUGCCCACUUCUCACUGGACCUGUACAUGUGUUGGCUGGCUGGCAUGAUUUUCUGUUGGUGAUGAGGCGGUCUGGGUGACGUUGCAGGGCUAUGGUCAGCUCUCUGUGAGCUCAAUGUUUAGAUUUGCUCUGUAUGGUUUGCACCCUGAAUACUCAGGGUAAUUGUAAAAUGUAGACACGGUUUUGUAUUGAAUGAUUCCCGGUUUUUAGGUUUAAGGUUGUUGUGGGACGUACAUGGUAGUUUGGUUCUUCGUACGGUUUUGAGUGAUAUAACUUGUACACACUGGGUGCAUAAUAAUGUAAAGGUACACUGAAUAGUAGUAUUGACCAACAGCAACAAACAGAUCUCCUCAAGGUAAGUCUGUUGGCUGUGUUUUAUUGAAGACCAUCGCUGGACUUCAGGAUCUUCCUCCGCUCAGCUCAAGGUGAGGCGCUGGUUCUGUUUUUUCUUUGGUUGGUUCCGGCCGGAAUGUUCGGAUUCCGGUCGGACGGUUUGUGCUUCCCGCCGUGGAAGGUUCUGAGUGCGGUCACUUGAUUUAGUCCCAAUGGUUAGCAUAGAACGUUGUAGUCUUGACAACCAUAAGAACCCACCUGGUAGUUAAUUGGACGGGAGUCCCCUGAGGGAAUCUGGCGGAACGUUCUGGAUUGUAUUCGCGUAACCUCGAGCCGUUGCCAACAAAAACUAUUUUUCAGUCGUUUCCAUUGGGAAUUGUUGCCCCUUAUCUUAAACAACUUAAGUUUGAUAUUAAAUACAUACUGACACGUACGUCGUACAAUAUGUUGAUAAUUUCCGAUGGUUGCGCCGUACUUUAACCACGAGGACGUGACGGGACUCUCGCUGCAUACAAAACGGCGUUCUACUUGCGGGACCAUUUUUGACAUCAGUGAAGGCUGAAAAUCAUUUCAAGGUGGAAGACAAUUUGACAUUUCUUCAACGGAACCCAGCACCUGAAUAUGGCUGAGUGAAUUUGAUUUAAUAUCGAUACUGCUUAGUGUCCUUUGUUACUUCAGCUUUUGUACGUUCUAAAUAUCUGCUGUCAUUAAUUGCCACAGAAGUUAAACCCUACCCAAUGGAAUGACGUUAAACAACGACUUUGGUGCAGAGUUACCAGCUGGAUAAUAUCAUAGCUAAAAUAAUGACCGUCCUUCACACAUGUUACAGUAGAAGAUACUCUAGAAAUGUACAAGGUUAAAAAGGUAACAUGUAGUUUGUCCCAAGGUGUCUGCCUCCUCACCCACUGCAAGACCUCCACCUCCUCACCCACUGCAAGACCUCCACCUCCUCCCUCGGAGCCAGUUCCCCACCUCCUGUCAGAAGUCCUCCAGAACCGCUGAAAGGUGAGGCUGAGAGGCUGGGGACCGGAGGCUUGUGGUGCCAGGAUGGACCGGAGACUGAGGCUUGUGGUGCCAGGAUGGACCGUAAACUGAGGCUGGAGACCAGGGGCCUGCAGCAUCGGACCAGAGGACCAGGAAUCCAGGAGCUGCUGGAGGCCCUGCCUGGUGAAGGACGUCUGUCGUGGGAUGCGAGCUGGUAGGGGAGCCGUGAAUCUGGAGGUUGACCAUCACUCUACCAACAAGGAUCACCAGGAAUCUGGAGGACUGAUGGAGAAGCCGUACACAUGGAAGGCCAAUCCUGAGGACAACCAGGACUCAACCAUCAAGGAUACCUCACACACCUGAGCUGAACCUCACCUGAUCCUGUUUGGUCGGGGGUAGACACACCUGAGCUGAACCCGCCCUGAUCCUGACAUCCUGCUGGUCCCGUCUCCUCAGUUCAUCUGAGCCUCGUCCUCCAGAAGACCUGCUGAGCUCAGCAGUCUGAGGCUGAUGGAUCAAUGACCUCCAGUGGGAGUGAUCUUCUUGACCCCACAUGUAACCGUGUGCUUCCACACGCCUUUCCCUCACGUCUGUCACUAACCUCACUACUUCACUACUCUCUACUGCUUCCUCUUCUUCUUCCUUCUCUGUGGUUCGAACCUUUACACUGGAGGCGCGUCUCCAUGCCCUCAGAGGGUUCAGCGUUAGGGUUGAGAGUCAGGGUUUAGAGUCAGGGACAGAGCUGGUCAGGGAGGACUGCUUUUACACUAACCUCUUCACUUGCUUUCAGAAUGGUGGUAACAUUUUGAAAAGAUUAAUUUGGGAACAUGCUUUCCUCUGCUUUCCUUUACAAAAUUGUAUUAAACUUCUGUCAAGUGUUUUUGAUUAUAUAUUAAAAUCCGACAUUGACU